CGGCGUGGAUAAGACAUGCAAGUCGAACGGGAUAUUACUUGUAGCAAUACAAGUGAUGUCCAGUGGCGUAAGGGUGCGUAACACGUGGGCAAUCUGCCGAGAAGUGGGGGAUAGCUCGCCGAAAGGCGAAUUAAUACCGCAUGUGGCCAGGGGAGACAUCUCCCCGACGCCAAAGCCGGGGCAACCUGGCGCUUCUUGAUGAGCCCGCGGCCUAUCAGCUAGUUGGUGAGGUAACGGCUCACCAAGGCUAUGACGGGUAGCUGGUCUGAGAGGACGACCAGCCACACUGGAACUGAGACACGGUCCAGACACCUACGGGUGGCAGCAGUCGAGAAUUUUUCUCAAUGGGGGAAACCCUGAAGGAGCGACGCCGCGUGGAGAAUGAAGGUCUUCGGAUGUAAACUGCCUGUCAUUAGGGAACAAUGUUGGUAAUAACU
rnacentral:rRNA from 1 species